GCAGAGAGAGGUGUCCUGUGUUUGUUCCCAGUCUUCCUUCACUCACCUGCACCUGCUCCUGCCCUGCUUCGGCCAACAUGUUCUAUGCAGGCAGCAGAGUUCAUAUCAAGGGCCCAUGUUUUAACUGAAUAUAAUGAAUUUUUUUUUUCACCUUGGAAGAGUCUUAGAGGCAAGAUUAGAAUGUUCAUCUAAAAGGAGUGCAAAUUUCUUCAACCAUUCCCACGGAGGAAGGUCUACUCUGUGAAAAGGAAAUGAUCAUACAUAAUUCAUGCAUUUGCUGUACGGAUUUAAUUAAAUGAUAGACAAAAAGUAGAGUGGCACAAGUCAAACUCAAAAAAUAGUAACAACAAAAUCAAUUUCAAAAUAAGCAACAGCAAUAAAUGUUACCUACUAUUUUACGAAUGAAAAUACUGAGACCAAUAAAGGCAUUAUAGUAUACAUAGCCUUGGAAUCAGAAGACCAAGAACAUACAAGAGAACAUAGCCUUGGAAUCAGAAGACCAAGAAACAAUUUAACUCUGCCCCUCUAGAGCUCUGAGAACUUGGGCAAGCCUUUUACCCUCUUGAAUUUUUGCCACCUUCAAUGAGAAAGACUGAAACAAAAAACUCAGAAGAAAGAAAGAGACUGAGAUAGCAAAUAUGACAAACUGUUAAAAAUUCAUGAAUCUGUUAUGGAAUACUAUGCAGCCAUAAAAAAGGAUGAGUUCCUGUCCUUUGCAAGGACGUGUAUGAAGCUGGAAACCAUCAUUCUGAGCAAACUAAAACAGGAACAGAAAACCAAACACCACAUGUUCUCACUCAUAAGUGGGAGUUGAACAAUGAGAACACAUGGACACGGCGGGGUGGUGGGAACAUCACACACCGGGGCCUGUCAGAGGGGAGGGGGCUAGGGGAGAGAUAGCAUUAGGAGAAAUACCUAAUGUAGAUGAUGGGUUGAUGGGUGCAGCAAACCACCAUGGCAUGUGUAUACCUAUGUAACAAACCUGCAUGUUCUGCACAUGUAUCCCAGAACUUAAAGUAUAAUAAUAAAAAGAGAGAUUAAAAAAAUUGGUGAAUCUGGGCAAAAUGUACACAGGAUUUUUCUGUACUGUUCUUGCAACUUUUCUACAGAUUUGAAAUGUUACAAAAUAAAAGGUAUUUUUAGAAAAAGAGUAUACAGUUGGAAGUGA
rnacentral:lncRNA from 1 species